rnacentral:misc_RNA from 1 species
UCAACCAUCAAGCACUGCUUAGUAUUGGGCGUCGUCCCCCUGGGGACGUGCCUUAAAGGCCUCGGCGGCGGUUCAUAACCUCAAGCGUAGUAGAAUAUUUUAUUUAGCUUUCUAGGUUUUGGGCCGCUCUGCCUCGAGAAAACAUUCACCUCAA